GCAUUAACAGUGGUCCAGAGUGAUCCAAAGCUGAUUCUGACGAGCAGCUAUGAUGGGCAUAUAUUUAAGUGGACUCAGGGUCAAGGCUACAAGGGUAGAUUAGAGAAGAAAGAUAGUUCUCAAGUUAAAUGUAUAGCAGCUGUUGAACAAGAGGUUAUUACAUCAGGAUUUGACGACAACGUGCGCAGGAUUCCUCUAAAUGGGAAUGAAUGUGGAGCAGCAGAGCAGGUUGACAUUGGCAGUCAGCCUAAGGAUUUGAGCCUUGCCAUUGAUUCCCCCGG
rnacentral:misc_RNA from 1 species